rnacentral:lncRNA from 1 species
AGCGGCGGCGCGGCGGAGAGGCGGAUAGCGGCGGAGAGGCGGACAGCGGCGGCGCGGCGGAGAGACGGACAGCGGCGGAGAGGCGGACAGCGGCGGAGAGGCGGACAGCGGCGGCGCGGCGGAGAGACGGACAGCGGCGGAGAGGCGGACAGCGGCGGCGCGGCGGAGAGACGGAUAGCGGCGGAGAGGCGGACAGCGGCGGCGCGGCGGAGAGGCGGACAGCGGCGGAGAGCGGCGGCGCGGCGGAGAGGCGGACAGCGGCGGCGCGGCGGAGAGACGGACAGCGGCGGAGAGGCAGACAGCGGCGGCGAGGCGCGCAGCGGCGGCGCAGGCGCGGAGAGGCGCUGGCGCCGGCUCUGGCGCGGAGAGGUGCAGGCCCAGGCUCCACUCCCCAGCUGUGAAAGGGUGAAACGGAACCUACUGGAAUGAAGCUGGCCUCCCAUGGAAUGAAGCUGGCCUCCCGUCUCCUUGAUUUGAAGCAGCUUCUCCACGUUGGUUAUUAUGCCAUUUUUCUAAAUCUAACAUUUUAAAAUUUGUGCCUUUUCUUUCUCUUUUGCUUGACUUCUCAGAGGUUUUUUUAACGGUCUUUUCAAAGAAGUGGUUUUGGGUUUUAUUUAUCAAGUCUACUUUUAUUAUGGCUGUUUUAAAAUUAAAUACAUUUAUUUCUUGUUUCCCUUA